rnacentral:lncRNA from 1 species
AUUUCCUUUACUUUGACAAAAUAUACAAUGCAAGCUAUUAUUUGGUGUGUGCACAAAAUAAAAUUUACUCUAAAUUUCAAUGAAUAAUUGUAUGAAUCUAAUACAAAAAUAUACAAUGCAAGCUAUUAAUUGGUGUGUGCAUACAAUAAAAUUUACUCUAAAUGAAUCUAAUACAAAAAUCUACUUUGAUCAUAUUAGAACUUUCUACCACAGAUCAUAACCUUCAAUUUUCUCAAUCUGAAUCUGAACCCCCCAAAUCGCCACAAAACAAAUCUUGGCAAUCUCUUAUAAGACUUAGUCCUGGUCAACUUUCGUCUACGGAUUCUUGAUAUUCUUUUGUGAAUUAUCUCUUGAUCAUGAUCAGAACUUUCCUUUGAUGAAACCACCCUAUUUUGAUCAUCAAUUCUUGAUUCAGAACUGCCUUUUAUUUGCUUUAUUUCCAUCCAUGGAUCAUCAUGAAUUCCAUCAUCAGAAUCACUUCCCCACAAAAGAAUAGGCUUAAUGAUUGGUGAUCCACUGUAAUCUUUGAAAUAAUUUCCCAAACUUGUAUGUUCCAUGUCAAACAAUCUUCUUAGAGAGGUGCUUCCUUCUUUCAUCAACCCUAAUAAAUUUCUGUUUUUUUGAGGGGACGAAAAUGAACUCCUCGAAGCAGAAAAAGAAGAAGAAGAAGACGACGACGACGACGAAAAAUAAAGGGAUUUUUGGUAGUCUAUAAUCUGCCUAAUCUUUUGUUUUUCUGCUUCUUUGUCUACAACAUAAGAGGGGUUUUCUUCAUCUUCUUCUUGUGUUAUUUCUGAAGCCAUAUUUUGCGUAAAAUAUUCUCUUUGAAUUGAAGAAAAGUGUACUCUUAUGAGAUCAAUAAGAGAUAAUCCAAGGAUUUGGAGCUUUACAACUACCAAAAUGGCAAAGCCGG